GACGAACGCUGGCGGCGUGCUUAACACAUGCAAGUCGAACGCUGAAGCCCAGCUUGCUGGGUGGAUGAGUGGCGAACGGGUGAGUAACACGUGAGUAACCUGCCCCCUUCUUUGGGAUAACGCCCGGAAACGGGUGCUAAUACUGGAUAUUCACUGAUCUUCGCAUGGGGGUUGGUGGAAAGGUUUUUUCUGGUGGGGGAUGGGCUCGCGGCCUAUCAGCUUGUUGGUGGGGUGAUGGCCUACCAAGGCUUUGACGGGUAGCCGGCCUGAGAGGGUGACCGGUCACAUUGGGACUGAGAUACGGCCCAGACUCCUACGGGAGGCAGCAGUGGGGAAUAUUGCACAAUGGGCGAAAGCCUGAUGCAGCGACGCCGCGUGAGGGAUGACGGCCUUCGGGUUAUAAACCUCUUUCGCUCAUGGUCAAGCCGCAGCUUUGGGUUGUGGUGAGGGUAGUGGGUAAAGAAGCGCCGGCUAACUACGUGCCAGCAGCCGCGGUAAUACGUAGGGCGCGAGCGUUGUCCGGAAUUAUUGGGCGUAAAGGGCUUGUAGGCGGUUGGUCGCGUCUGCCGUGAAAUCCUCUGGCUUAACUGGGGGCGUGCGGUGGGUACGGGCUGUCUUGAGUGCGGUAGGGGAGACUGGAACUCCUGGUGUAGCGGUGGAAUGCGCAGAUAUCAGGAAGAACACCGGUGGCGAAGGCGGGUCUCUGGGCCGUUACUGACGCUGAGGAGCGAAAGCGUGGGGAGCGAACAGG
rnacentral:rRNA from 1 species